rfam:Myotis davidii contig312122, whole genome shotgun sequence.
UUUCCAGUUUUAGAUGGAGGUCUAAAGCUGUCACAAAACUUAAAAAAUUUUCCUGAUAGGUCAUGUGCAUCUAAUUCAUGGUAAUCCAGUGUAUGAACACAUACAAGGACAGUUUCCUGAUUAAUGUCAGCUUUGAGUUGAGGCUAUAUCCUAGACAUCUUAGUUGCUCUUAUUUCUGGAGACGUUUUUCUUGGCCAUUAAUGAAGCAAC